rnacentral:rRNA from 1 species
UUNUGAACUGGGUGACUAGAGUGUGUCAGAGGGAGGUAGAAUUCCACGUGUAGCAGUGAAAUGCGUAGAGAUGUGGAGGAAUACCGAUGGCGAAGGCAGCCUCCUGGGAUAACACUGACGUUCAUGCCCGAAAGCGUGGGUAGCAAACAGGAUUAGAUACCCUGGUAGUNCACGCCCUAAACGAUGUCGAUUAGCUGUUGGGCAGCAUGACUGCUUAGUAGCGAAGCUAACGCGUGAAAUCGACCGCCUGGGGAGUACGGUCGCAAGAUUAAAACUCAAAGGAAUUGACGGGGACCCGCACAAGCGGUGGAUGAUGUGGAUUAAUUCGAUGCAACGCGAAGAACCUUACCUGGUCUUGACAUGUGCGGAACCCUCCAGAGACGGAGGGGUGCCUUCGGGAGCCGUAACACAGGUGCUGCAUGGCUGUCGUCAGCUCGUGUCGUGAGAUGUUGGGUUAAGUCCCGCAACGAGCGCAACCCUUGUCAUUAGUUGCCAUCAUUAAGUUGGGCACUCUAAUGAGACUGCCGGUGACAAGCCGGAGGAAGGUGGGGAUGACGUCAAGUCCUCAUGGCCCUUAUGACCAGGGCUUCACACGUCAUACAAUGGUCGGUACAGAGGGUAGCCAAGCCGCGAGGUGGAGCCAAUCUCACAAAACCGAUCGUAGUCCGGAUUGCACUCUGCAACUCGAGUGCAUGAAGUCGGAAUCGCUAGUAAUCGCAGGUCAGCAUACUGCGGUGAAUACGUUCCCGGGUCUUGUACACACCGCCCGUCACACCAUGGGAGUGGGGGAUACCAGAAGUAGGUAGGG